rnacentral:rRNA from 1 species
UAGCAUAUCAAUAAGCGGAGGAAAAGAAACCAACAGGGAUUGCUCUAGUAACGGCGAGUGAAGCAGCAAUAGCUCAAAUUUGAAAUCUGGCGUCUUCGACGUCCGAGUUGUAAUUUGUAGAGGAUGCUUCUGAGUAACCACCGACCUAAGUUCCUUGGAACAGGACGUCAUAGAGGGUGAGAAUCCCGUAUGCGGUCGGAAAGGUGCUCUAUACGUAGCUCCUUCGACGAGUCGAGUUGUUUGGGAAUGCAGCUCUAAAUGGGAGGUAAAUUUCUUCUAAAGCUAAAUAUUGGCCAGAGACCGAUAGCGCACAAGUAGAGUGAUCGAAAGAUGAAAAGCACUUUGGAAAGAGAGUUAAAAAGCACGUGAAAUUGUUAAAAGGGAAGGGAUUGCAACCAGACUUGCUCGCGGUGUUCCGCCGGUCUUCUGACCGGUCUACUCGCCGCGUUGCAGGCCAGCAUCGUCUGGUGCCGCUGGAUAAGACUUGAGGAAUGUAGCUCCCUCGGGAGUGUUAUAGCCUCUUGUGAUGCAGCGAGCGCCGGGCGAGGUCCGCGCUUCGGCUAGGAUGCUGGCGUAAUGGUCGUAAUCCGCCCGUCUUGAAACACGGACCAAGGAGUCUAACAUCUAUGCGAGUGUUCGGGUGUCAAACCCCUACGCGUAAUGAAAGUGAACGGAGGUGAGAACCGCAAGGUGCAUCAUCGACCGAUCCUGAUGUCUUCGGAUGGAUUUGAGUAAGAGCAUAGCUGUUGGGACCCGAAAGAUGGUGAACUAUGCCUGAAUAGGGUGAAGCCAGAGGAAACUCUGGUGGAGGCUCGCAGCGGUUCUGACGUGCAAAUCGAUCGUCAAAUUUGGGUAUAGGGGCGAAAGACUAAUCGAACCAUCUAGUAGCUGGGUCCUGC